GACGAACGCUGGCGGCGUGCCUAAUACAUGCAAGUAGAACGCUGAAGGAGGAGCUUGCUCUUCUGGAUGAGUUGCGAACGGGUGAGUAACGCGUAGGUAACCUGCCUGGUAGCGGGGGAUAACUAUUGGAAACGAUAGCUAAUACCGCAUAAGAGUAGAUGUUGCAUGACAUUUGCUUAAAAGGUGCAAUUGCAUCACUGCCAGAUGGACCUGCGUUGUAUUAGCUAGUUGGUGGGGUAACGGCUCACCAAGGCGACGAUACAUAGCCGACCUGAGAGGGUGAUCGGCCACACUGGGACUGAGACACGGCCCAGACUCCUACGGGAGGCAGCAGUAGGGAAUCUUCGGCAAUGGACGGAAGUCUGACCGAGCAACGCCGCGUGAGUGAAGAAGGUUUUCGGAUCGUAAAGCUCUGUUGUAAGAGAAGAACGAGUGUGAGAGUGGAAAGUUCACACUGUGACGGUAUCUUACCAGAAAGGGACGGCUAACUACGUG
rnacentral:rRNA from 1 species